rnacentral:rRNA from 1 species
GCACAAGCGGUGGAGCAUGUGGCUUAAUUCGAAGCAACGCGAAGAACCUUACCAGGGCUUGACAUGCAGGUGAAUAGAGUAGAGAUAUUCUAGUCCUUCGGGACACCUGUGCAGGUGGUGCAUGGUUGUCGUCAGCUCGUGUCGUGAGAUGUUGGGUUAAGUCCCGCAGCGAGCGCAACCCCUGUUGUUAGUUGCCAGCAUUAAGUUGGGCACUCUAGCGAGACUGCCGGUGACAAAUCGGAGGAAGGUGGGGACGACGUCAAGUCAUCAUGGCCCUUACGGCCUGGGCUACACACGUGCUACAGUGGUCGGUACAGAGGGUUGCCAAGCCGCGAGGUGGAGCUAAUCCCAGAAAACCGAUCGUAGUCCGGAUCGCAGUCUGCAACUCGACUGCGUGAAGUCGGAAUCGCUAGUAAUCGCAGAUCAGCACGCUGCGGUGAAUACGUUCCCGGGC